GGCCUGGUUGGAUGGUCUGCCUUUGGGCAUGUACUGUCCUGACUGGGUCUUACCUUCUGGUGAGCUGUCGUGUCGUUUACUCGGUGCGGCAGGGAACCAGGACUUUUACUUUGAAAAAAUUAGAGUGUUUAAAGCAGGCUUUCGCUUGAAUACAUUAGCAUGGAAUAAUAAAAUAGGACU
rnacentral:rRNA from 1 species